rnacentral:miRNA from 1 species
AGAAAUGCCUCCAUGAGAUCCAGCUGUAAGGCAUUUUCUCAUUUAGUUACAAAUGGAAGAAUUACCACCAUGGUGGGUGGUGCAAUCUCUGGGCUAGUGAUC